GACUGCUGGAGCGCUUAGAAGUGAGAAUGCCGGUAUGAGUAGCGAAAGACAGGUGAGAAUCCUGUCCACCGAAUGACUAAGGUUUCCUGGGGAAGGCUCGUCCGCCCAGGGUUAGUCGGGACCUAAGCCGAGGCCGACAGGCGUAGGCGAUGGACAACAGGUUGAUAUUCCUGUACCCGUUGUUUUUGUUUGAGCAAUGGAGGGACGCAGGAGGCUAAGAAGUGCAGACUGAUGGAUAUGUCUGUUCAAGCAGUAAGUCUUGGUAGGAGUCAAAUGCUUCUACCUAUACGGACAAGCUGUGAUGAGGAGGGAAAUAAUAGUACCGAAGCUUCUGAUGUCACACUGCCAAGAAAAGCUUCUAGUGAGAAAACAACGGCCCGUACCGCAAACCGACACAGGUAGUCGAGGAGAGAAUCCUAAGGUGAGCGAGAGAACUCUCGUUAAGGAACUCGGCAAAAUGACCCCGUAACUUCGGGAGAAGGGGUGCUGCUCUAACGAGCAGCCGCAGUGAAUAGGCCCAAGCGACUGUUUAUCAAAAACACAGGUCUCUGCAAAAUCGAAAGAUGACGUAUAGGGGCUGACGCCUGCCCGGUGCUGGAAGGUUAAGAGGAGUGCUUAGCGUA
rnacentral:rRNA from 1 species